rnacentral:lncRNA from 1 species
CCAAUCAAUAUAUAUUUAUUUAUUUCAAUCACAGAUAAUAAAAUAAUAUGAAGUUAUUUCUAUACAUAAAAAUAUUUUAAAUUUUAACAACGACAGUGCGAGUGAAAGUAUUGACAGGUGUCGUGUGUUGGCUCUCAAAUGUUAACAUGUUUUGUAAGUUAUCGUUGUAAGUGUUUAUUCGUGAAAGAUAUGAAUGGCAGAAAUAUGUUGCGUGUUUAUAGGAGAUAUUUUGGAAAUUAAUCGAGCGUUGUCACUGUAAAUGUUAUCUAUUUAUAGUUAUGUUUUCUGAUGGUUUAAGUAAGAUUAAAUUGAUUCUUAUGUAUUUAAUACAAUAUAAAGAUAUCAUCUAAGCAUGAAAUAGUUAUUGUUGAGAUGAUCUACAAUGAACUGAAAAACCAGUGAUUGUAACAAGAUUCAAUCUAGGGAUGCUUUUGUGAUGUUCUAGAGACAUAAGCACUGUGCUACUGAUUCCUUUAUUACAGAGAUGGAACUAUAAAGAAAAUUCAGAAGAAGAAACGAUAUUCACCAAUAUGUCCAGUGUGUCUAAAACUGUUUUGUACUCAACAAGCCCUCAAUAUACAUAUGAACAGUCAUCGUGCUGUCAAAUUAAAAUAUCGAUGUGACAUCUGUGAUAGAACUUACACCUGCCUAACUAGUCUUUCUCGACAUAAGAAGAUUCACGAAGGUUCUUAUCGACAUGCCUGUCAUCUGUGUUCAAAAAAAUUCAUUUAUUUGUCUGCUUUACAAACACAUUUAAAAACAAAUCAUACAUAAUUGAAUAUCACAUAUAUUGAAAAAUUUUAAUAUUUAUUCAAUUUAAACUUGUAA